rnacentral:rRNA from 1 species
AUACGGAGGGUGCAAGCGUUAUCCGGAUUUAUUGGGUUUAAAGGGUCUGUAGGCGGAUCUGUAAGUCAGUGGUGAAAUCUCAUAGCUUAACUAUGAAACUGCCAUUGAUACUGCAGGUCUUGAGUAAGGUAGAAGUAGCUGGAAUAAGUAGUGUAGCGGUGAAAUGCAUAGAUAUUACUUAGAACACCAAUUGCGAAGGCAGGUUACUAUGUCUUAACUGACGCUGAUGGACGAAAGCGUGGGGAGCGAACAGGAUUAGAAACCCUAGUAGUCC